AUGCACCUGUGCACAUCUCAGGUUCGUGUGAACAGGAAUCCGUACACACCCGUACCUCUGUGGGCAGCCAUUCGGUGCAAACACAAGUGUGCGCAUACUCGUGUGAAAAGCAAAUCCUUGAGAUCGUGCACAGAGGAAAACGUGGAAACCCACCGGUUCGUGCAUAUCGGAUGGUGCAAACACAAGUCUACGUAUACUGGGACGAGUGCACUGUCCCGAGGUUGUACACACGUGGAAAGGGGCACACCCCAGGGUUGUGCACACACGAGGUCCUGCAUGCCCCUUGGGCCAACUCUCAGGCCUAGUCCAGAGAAAGUAGAGGCGCCCAUUCGACCCAAACUCGGGCACAGCUGUAGGGUCUGGGCGCCAUCUUCGCCCCGCGAGCAGCGGAAAGAUCUGCAGACCGGGCGGCCCUUGCGCAGGGGCCUUUGUUGUCCCUGCUUCCGGGCGUCCAUCACGCGGAGUCCGCGCGCGCCGGAGCACGAAAUGGCGGUUGGGGGCGGGGCGGGACGGGGCGACCCGGAACAGCGCCCACUCACGACUCCUGGCAAGGCGCGCCGUCCCGCCCCCUUGCGCAGGCGCACGGCACGGCGCGCGUUCCCGCGUUCCCUCCGACGCGCGCCGGGACACAAAGGGCUGGAGGGAAAGCACGGAGCGCGGCUAGCACCUACGGAGCGGCUAGCGGUCCGGAGCGGCCUGGAGCGGACUACCGGGGCCGGAGCCGGGCUCGCCGGAACCGCGCGCUGGGGCGCCGGGUGGGGCGUUGGGCGGCGCUCCUUCCCCUCCCCUCGUCCUCCGUCAACGGCCGUAACGGCCUCGCGAGCUGGGGUGGGGCGGAGGGGGCCGGCAGGGCGCAGGCGCCGAACUCCCGGCCGCCGCGGGGAGGGCCUGGCGCCUCCAUUUUCCGUCGCGCGCCCUAAUGGCGGAAGUGGGUGCUUUUACCCGGGUGCGGAGGGAACGACUCGCCUCUGGGAAAGCCAGAGGCCUUCUCUCCAGAUUCUUUGCUCGGUCCGCGCGCUUCAGCGCGGGAGUUGA
rnacentral:lncRNA from 1 species